rnacentral:rRNA from 1 species
CCUACGGGAGGCAGCAGUGGGGAAUUGUUCGCAAUGGGCGCAAGCCUGACGACGCAACGCCGCGUGGAGGAUGAAGAUUUUCGGAUCGUAAACUCCUUUCGAUCGGGACGAAUCGGUCGCGACCUAACACGUCGUGGCACUGACGGUACCGAGAGAAGAAGCCCCGGCUAACUCCGUGCCAGCAGCCGCGGUAAUACGGGGGGGGCAAGCGUUGUUCGGAAUUACUGGGCGUAAAGGGCGCGUAGGCGGCCUGCUAAGUCGGACGUGAAAUCCCUCGGCUCAACCGAGGAACUGCGUCCGAUACUGGCGAGCUUGAAUCCGGGAGAGGGAUGUGGAAUUCCAGGUGUAGCGGUGAAAUGCGUAGAUAUCUGGAGGAACACCGGUGGCGAAGGCGGCAUCCUGGACCGGUAUUGACGCUGAGGCGCGAAAGCCAGGGGAGCAAACGGGAUUAGAUACCCUUGUAGUCC